rnacentral:lncRNA from 10 species
ACACUGACACAUGAAGUAGGAACUGUAUCCUCUUAGAACUGUUUGGAAGAGAGAAACUUACUCUCCAGCCAUCCUUCACCACCUUGGGAGAAGCUGUGGUGAUCUGUCACGCUGAUAAGGAAUUAAGGAGCUCCCACAUCAGUGCUGUUUGAACAGUGGAGUGAACUACUUUGCAAGGAAAUGAGGUUCCAGUUCCUGGAGGCAUGCAAGCAGAGGCCUGAGAACCACUGUUAAAGGAUGUUGUAGAGAAGACAAGGCAUCAGAAGGGGGGACUGGCCCAGGGGAAUUCAAGGAUCCUUUGAGACCCUGAGAUACAUUAGGAUGGAAAGAAUGGACUCUGAAAGCACCCAGAUGUGAACAGGACCCCUAACUGCUUGGGCAAGUCCAGUACCUCCCUGAUCCUCAGUUUCCUCCUGUGUAUAAUGGAAAGAACUACUCUACAGGAUUGUUAGAAUAAAAUGAGGUAAUGUAGCAAAUCAUCUAAGACAGCAUCUGGGAUAUAGAAAGUGCUAAAUAAGUGCCCUUCUUGGAGGUAGCAUUUUCCCCCUUUGAUUUGCCAUCAUCCUCUGAUGAGAACAUCAUCCUAAAUCUCCCAGGAAUCUCUGGAGAACAUACACAAGGAGGACUUCCAAUAAUAGUUUUCACUAUUCUGUUUUCAAAGGGUCGUUCCCAAGCCAGGGACCUAAAGCUAGUACCUUCCCAACCCCGAAUCAGCAUUUAUGGUCCCCAGGUGCCCCCUGCCAUGAGCAGUUCAAAGAGGCAGAAUCUGAUGUUCCUGGGAACGUGGCCAUUGGGCUCUGGAGGCUGCUUGAAGCAACUAAAUGACUUCCAUCCAUAAAUAGGGAGUUGCUAAUAAUAAAAGACAGUAUCUGCCGAGGGAGACAUAAGGUUCCUUUCGGGAGCUGACAUCCUCGUCAUGGGUAGCCUCAGCGUUCUGAGUUCUCCUGUAGGGAAGCCAGCGCCUGAUGCAUUGGGGCAUGGCUGAAGACGCUGUCAUGGGCUGGGGAAGAGGACGAGAUGCCCCACCUUGUAGAGACAGGCACCCCUGCCCUUCUGAAGCCAAGAGCUCUGGACCCUGCUGCCCAUUGGAGUCGCCUAAGGAAGUUUAUAAAAAUACUGAUAUCUCGAACCACCUUCAGAGAUCUUUAAUUACUCUACGGCAGACCCAGUGUUGAGAAGCAGUGGUCUAGGCGCAGCUCAGGCCUGCUGAAGAGUAAGCCAAAUAAACUUCCAGGAAUGCCCGAAGGAUUUACAACCAGCGCGGCCCUCUUGGGUGGGCUGAUGUUAGUAUCACAAACACACAAGGUUGUUUGCCUGAAACUGUGAGUCAGUCAUCAAGGGCACACCCAGCAUGACUCCCAGCAUGAAAAGGUUUCUUGAUGAAAAUUGAUUUCUUCUCCACAGCCUUGUGACAUGGAGCAGUAAGAGGAGGCAUGGCUCACCAGCCCAGAAUGAUGGUGCCACUGGCAGAUUGGGAGGUAGAAAAUGAACCCGUGACACAGGGUUCAGCUUGGGCACCUGCCUGAAUUCAUUGUUAGCUCUAGAAUUUGGGGUUGGAUACUUAACUCAGAUGCAUAUUUCUUCCCAUGUGACACAAGGACAUUUCUUACCCAAUUCACAGGGUGAUAUUAAAAUAGAAAACAAUGUUUGUCAAGUGUAAAGCGUGCUACAAAGUGUCACAAUAUUCAUAACAAGGAAAUGUGAGUUUACAAUUUUUUUACACCUGUAUAAAGCACUCACUAUGUGCCAGGAGCAUCAUUUUAUACACAUUAUCUCCUAGGAUCCCCACAGCAUACCACGAGGAAGAUGAUGUUAUGCUUGCUGACAAAUAAGGGGAUUUCAGGGGUUUCCAGACAAUGUAUUGGGAUCAACCAUCAAAUCAGGAAGACUUACCUGAUGUGUACAUAGCAAGUGAAUUUCAAUGGAACCAAGAGAGGUCCAGACACACUAAUCCCAGAUGAGAUUCCUAGUAAACACCCCUCCUUGAUCCCACAAAGAGGAAGUGAAAGAGAAAGAGAGCUGAUUCUUCCAGUCUUCUACCAGUCUCCGUGGAAGAAGCUCAGGCUGGGGUAAAACUCAUCCAUCGACCAUGCAGUUUUAGUGGAUCUGUUGGUACACAAGACCCUGCCCUGGUUAUUGGGCAGAUUUACAACUUCCCAUUAACAUAUCAUUUUCCCCAUGAGAUACAAUAAGAGAUACUGCGGAAAAUGCAGGCAGGGCCUCCAGAGCUUCAAAGGGUGUAGGUUUGCUGUUCUUACCCUUAUGGCUUUGGGGUCUCUUGACAACUCUAAAGCCUACCACCAAAGGAUGUUUCCAAAGUCAUUAAUGGAUCCUGUAAACACCAUAUUCAAAACCAUAGCAGAAAGGGCCUGUCAAGAAGAGUAGAACCCCAGUGGGGUGGAGGUGGGAGUCAGCCAUGGGAGUCUCCAGGAAGAUGCUCAACCCAUGCCUCCUCACAAAGGGAGGUAUAGACGUGAUCUCCAUCCCAAGUCAUCAGAGGCCCUCCUCAAACUACAAAGACCAAGACCAUGAACAGCAACAUCUGCUUAUUAAGUCCUACCACGUGCCAGGUACUCUGCCCAGUGUUGUACAUGCACCAGCCCAUUCCAUCCCACAGCAAUCCCUGAAGCAGGCACUAGUGUCAUCCCUAUUUUAAAGAUGAGGAACCUGAGCAAGUUAAGCCACUUCUCUGGGGCCACUCAUACAAAACGUGGUAGAAAUGGAAUUUGAACCCAGGCACUCCCUCCCUGAGCACAGGAGAUUAGUCACUGUGCUCACCCAUCCAAGUCAUGAGUGUCCAUAGUGCUCACCAUUAAGUCCUGCCUCUUCUCUUUCUAAGGCCCAGCUCAAAGGAAUGGCUCCUUCCUCUGCCCUCCAAAUCCACUACGCAUGUGUUUAUGUGUAUAUGUUAUGGCACUGUUAAUUCAUUUAUUCAUAUAACACAAAUAUAUUAAGUAUCUUUAUAGGCACCAAGAACACAUGAGACAAAAAAAAAUGUCAGGGAGGGAGGAAGCUGUGGUUAUAAAAAAUAGAGAUAGACAACAUGUGGGAUCCUUGUGGCAAUGGAGCUAUUCUGUAUCUUGAUUGUGGUGGUGGAUACACAAACUAAUGUGAUAAAAUUACAUAGAACUAAAUACACACAUUCACAUCCACACACAUCCAUGAGUACAAGUCAAACUGGGGAAAUCUGAAUAAGAUCAGUGGAUUCUGUCAAUGUCAAUAUCCUAGCUGUGAUAUUUUUCUAUGUUACCUUUGGGCAAAACUGGUUAAAGGGUACGUGGGACCUGUCUGUAUUGUUUUUUACAACUGCAUGUUAUCUACGUUUCUCAAUAAUUUACAAUUAUCUCAAUAAAAAUUUCAAUUCUAAAAAAAAAAAAA